GACGAACGCUGGCGGCGUGCCUAAUACAUGCAAGUAGAACGCUGAAGGAGGAGCUUGCUCUUCUGGAUGAGUUGCGAACGGGUGAGUAACGCGUAGGUAACCUGCCUGGUAGCGGGGGAUAACUAUUGGAAACGAUAGCUAAUACCGCAUAAGAGUAGAUGUUGCAUGACAUUUGCUUAAAAGGUGCAAUUGCAUCACUACCAGAUGGACCUGCGUUGUAUUAGCUAGUUGGUGAGGUAACGGCUCACCAAGGCAACGAUACAUAGCCGACCUGAGAGGGUGAUCGGCCACACUGGGACUGAGACACGGCCCCAGACUCCUACGGGAGGCAGCAGUAGGGAAUCUUUCGGCA
rnacentral:rRNA from 1 species